rnacentral:lncRNA from 1 species
GACACAGGAUAAGGAAAUUGCCCAUGGCAGACACGGAGGUGCGCAGCUCAGAACACCUCCCGGUAAGGACGCGCUGCCCAGCUGCAGGAAGUGCAGACAGCAGACAGCUUCCUCCUUCAGGGGCUGCCCCAGCUGCAGAGACCCACGUCAUCUGAGUUCACACACUGCUUGGGCAUCUGACAGAUUGCAUCACUGAGAGCUGGAAUCAUUCCUGUGGAGCCCCUUGGCCUGUUGCUCCUCCAUGAGAGGGGUCUCUGUUGGAGUGAGAGACUGCAAUCCAUCAUCCACCAGUGGAGGGAAGCAAAAGACAGAAAAGGAUCCAAGAGGUUCAUGCUGCAGUGAAUUAUCAACAAGACCUGGCUUAGUCCAGGCCUUUAGGCAGGAGUUCAGGGCCUCAGAGGCUUCCUGAGUGCUCCAGAAUCCUGAGAAAGGGAAGAAGCCAGCUUUUAAGGAGGUGGCUGGCAAGAAAGUACAGA